rnacentral:misc_RNA from 1 species
CAACCCUCAAGCCCCGCUUGGUGUUGGGGCCCUACGGUUUGACGUAGGCCCUUAAAGGUAGUGGCGGACCCUCCCGGAGCCUCCUUUGCGUAGUAACUUAACGUCUCGCACUGGGAUCCGGAGGGACUCUUGCCGUAAAACCCCCAAAACUUUUACA